rnacentral:rRNA from 1 species
CAUCCUCCAAGGCUAAAUACUCCUGACUGACCGAUAGUGAACCAGUACCGUGAGGGAAAGGCGAAAAGAACCCCGGCGAGGGGAGUGAAAAAGAACCUGAAACCGUGUACGUACAAGCAGUGGGAGCCCCACCACCAAAGCAUUCUCUGGUGUUGAAGGCCCUGCAAAGCAGCAUCGCGGUGGCGGAGCGUCGUUUGCGACGCCCAACACACAAAACAAGCGGUGAGUGCUUUGGGGUGGGGUGACUGCGUACCUUUUGUAUAAUGGGUCAGCGACUUAUAUUCUGUAGCAAGGUUAACCGUAUAGGGGAGCCGUAGGGAAACCGAGUCUUAACCGGGCGUUAAGUUGCAGGGUAUAGACCCGAAACCCGGUGAUCUAGCCAUGGGCAGGUUGAAGGUUGGGUAACACUAACUGGAGGACCGAACCGACUAAUGUUGAAAAAUUAGCGGAUGACCUGUGGCUGGGGGUGAAAGGCCAAUCAAACCGGGAGAUAGCUGGUUCUCCCCGAAAGCUAUUUAGGUAGCGCCUCGUGAACUCAUCUCCGGGGGUAGAGCACUGUUUCGGCUAGGGGGCCAUCCCGGCUUACCAACCCGAUGCAAACUGCGAAUACCGGAGAAUGUUAUCACGGGAGACACACGGCGGGUGCUAACGUCCGUCGUGAAGAGGGAAACAACCCAGACCGCCAGCUAAGGUCCCAAAGUCAUGGUUAAGUGGGAAACGAUGUGGGAAGGCCCAGACAGCCAGGAUGUUGGCUUAGAAGCAGCCAUCAUUUAAAGAAAGCGUAAUAGCUCACUGGUCGAGUCGGCCUGCGCGGAAGAUGUAACGGGGCUAAACUGUGCACCGAAGCUGCGGCAGCGACGCUAUGCGUUGUUGGGUAGGGGAGCGUUCUGUAAGCCUGCGAAGGUGUCCUGUGAGGGAUGCUGGAGGUAUCAGAAGUGCGAAUGCUGACAUAAGUAACGAUAAUGCGGGUGAAAAGCCCGCUCGCCGGAAGACCAAGGGUUCCUGUCCAACGUUAAUCGGGGCAGG